rnacentral:rRNA from 1 species
CCUACGGGAGGCAGCAGUGAGGAAUAUUGGUCAAUGGGCGUAAGUCUGAACCAGCCAUGCCGCGUGCGGGAUGAAGGUUCUAUGAAUCGUAAACCUCUUUUAUACGGGGAUAAAGUGCGGGACGUGUCUUGUUCUGUAUGUACCUUACGAAUAAGGAUCGGCUAACUCCGUGCCAGCAGCCGCGGUAAUACGGAGGAUCCGAGCGUUAUCCGGAUUUAUUGGGUUUAAAGGGUGCGUAGGCGGCCUGUUAAGUUAGCGGUGAAAGGCUGUGGCUCAACCAGGGAAUUGCCGUUGAUACUGGUGGGCUAGAGAAUGUAUGAGGCAGGCGGAAUGUGUGGUGUAGCGGUGAAAUGCUUAGAGAUCAUGCAGAACCCCGAUUGCGAAGGCAGCCUGCCAAGCCAUGUCUGACGCUGAUGCACGAAAGCGUGGGGAGCAAACAGGAUUAGAUACCCGAGUAGUC